ACUCCUACGGGAGGCAGCAGUAGGGAAUCCUCGGCAAUGGGGGAAACCCUGACCGAGCAACGCCGCGUGAAGGAAGAAGUAAUUCGUUAUGUAAACUUCUGUCAUAGAGGAAGAACGGGGAUAUAUGCGACUGAUAUCCAAGGACG
rnacentral:rRNA from 1 species